CGGGGUGGAGUAACGCGUGGGUACCGUGCUCACACAGGGGAGUAACAGUUAGAAAUGACUGCUAAUACCGCAUAACCCGAUAGGAUCGCAUGAUCCAGACGGAAAAGAUUUAUCGGUGUGAGAUGGACCCGCGUCUGAUUAGCUAGUUGGUGAGGUAACGGCCCACCAAGGCGACGAUCAGUAGCCGGCCUGAGAGGGUGAACGGCCACAUUGGGACUGAGACACGGCCCAA
rnacentral:rRNA from 1 species